rnacentral:miRNA from 1 species
AUGCAAGGGCUGGUGCGAUGGC